UUUUUUUUUUUUGGUAUUUUUGCCAUUUCUUAGGCCACUCCCACGGCAUAUGGAGAGGCCCUAGAAAAGGCAAAAAGACAAAAUAAUAAUAAUAAAUAAAAAUAACUAUGCAUUGGAGGCUGAGUAUAGGAAAUGCCCUAUCGGAAUUCAAUCUUUCCAACCUCGUUAUUAAUCAUUUUAUAAAUUAUUUUACAAAUUUAAUUUCGUGGACAUCGCAUUUGUUAAGGCAAGCUAAUCUGUGCAAUCAAGAAGCCUACACAUCCCUGAAUUUUCCUAGACUAGAUAGAAGCUAUAAGUAGCAUUGUAUUAGGUGUGGUCCAUGGCAUCCUCUCCCCACCACCAUAAGCACUUGCCAAGGAGAAUUCAAAACAAGGGUCUUUCAACUUGAGCCCAAUCAGGUUGAGUAAGUGCAGUUGUGUUCGGUAUUCAGCUUAAAGUACAUUCUUCCACAGAAUUCUUUUUGUUCAUCCCAUUUACUGGACAAUGACUUCCUUCAGGGCAGUGAUUCUUAAAAAAGGGAAGGGAUUUUGCCCCCCGAGGACCUCUGGCAACAUGUGGAGACACACUUUGUCGUCACAAGUGUGUGUUUCGGGGUAGGGGUGACGGGGAGAGGUGUUGUGCUAUUGGCAGCUAGUGGAGAGAGGCCAGAGCGUCCGCCCGGGACAGCCCCCUCCCCAAACAAAGAAUAUCCCCCCCGUAAGCCACUGAGGUUGAGAAACCCUGUUUCUCAAUAGGGCAGAGAAGGAAUCUCAGAUUUCCCUGUACCUGUAACAUCUGCCCAGAAGGUGGUCAGAGACCAUUUCCUGAUUGACGUUGUCACAAGAGCCCAGCUUUUUGGAGCGCAGCCUUGCAUAGUUACAGCAGGAAACAGAAUUGGAGGAAGGAAUUUCAACCAACCUCACUCUCAGAAGAGCCCAAAUGACAUCUCACCAAAAUGAAGAAACAUAGCCCCAGUCAAGUCCACUGACUUCAAGGUCAACGCCUCUUCUUUGCAAGAAGUUCUCUCUUGGCUCUUUAGUAUUCGAAUGGUGGGUAUUUUUUGUGGGCCAAACCUGUGUUCUGGACCACAGCAGAACGUACAGGGCAGAGCCUUAUACACCACUGUCACCCCCAGGUUCAGGUCCUUGCUUUCCCUCUACACCUAUGAUUUAAAGCAGCCUCCUCAUCUGCUGAAGGCGCAGAAACUCUGUGCAGUCAACUUUUUGGAUCUGAUUCUCCUCCAAUCCUACCCUUCUAGUCCUUAAUGACACCUACCACGCUGGGCAAAUUCCUCCCUCCACAUAUAGGAGCAACAGGCAGGCACAGACAUCACCUCGGUGGCCAGAAAGAGCCUAGAGCAGGGGCCUCCGCUUACAUCCUAUCACUGAGGAAAGGGAAGCUCAGAACACAGUGAGUUUCCCAGCUACAUGGCGAGGGGGAGAUCUCCAAAGCUGAGCUUCUGCCUCCAAGGUCAGUGCUCUUGCCACUCCUGCACACAGAGCAGGUAAGGCCAUGGCUGCCUGUCUUGCUACCUACCUACUAUGCAUUCAGCAGGGAACGGAAGCCUGUGAGAUGCACUGGGGUCAUCAGGCCAGGAGAGGGUGGAUGAAUGCGGGUCAUCCAUACUUGGCUGCCGAAUCUGAGCACCGGGUGGGAGAAGCACAGAGCCUGCGAAACCCCCACGGUCAGAUGCUAGCAGAGGGUCAGGGGUGGGGGCAGCUGGGGAGAGGUCUGAGACUGAGGGUACCCUUUCAGGAGGAGGGCUUGUUCCUCAAAGGCAGGGUAGAAAGAGGUCUGGUAGAGAGCCUGAAGGUUCUAGAUUGCUUAUUCCUUCAUGAAACAGUUACGGAGCCAGAUGCUGUGGAUACAGAGCAAACAAGGCAGAUAAGAUCCCCACCUGUGGAGAACUUAGAUUUUAGGCGGAGAGAUAAGUAAACAAACAAACAAACAAAAAGACAGAUGAUUGUGUUAAAUACAAAAAGAUAAAUAAACAAGAAAUUCAAAUAAGCACCAGGACUUCCUGUCGUGGCGCAGUGGAAACGAAUCCAACUAGGAACCAUGAGGUAGCAGGUUUGAUCCCUGGCCUCACGCAGUGGAUUAAGGAUCCAUCAUUGCCGUGAGCUGUGGUGCAGGUCGCAGACGUGGCUC
rnacentral:lncRNA from 1 species